AAAGUUGGGGAGCUAGCACUAAGCUGGCUGAGAGUAGGAGUUUCCUUGACCCAUAGAACCUGUCAGGAUAAUACCGGCGUAGGGAGAAAAAAAUGU
rnacentral:ncRNA from 1 species